ACGCUCGACACCUACGGGAGACAGCAGUGGGGAAUAUUGCACAAUGGGGGAAACCCUGAUGCAGCGACGCCGCGUGAGCGAAGAAGUAUUUCGGUAUGUAAAGCUCUAUCAGCAGGGAAGAAACUGACGGUACCUGACUAAGAAGCACCGGCUAAAUACGUGCCAGCAGUCGCGGUAAUCUGAGCGGGCUGGCAAGGC
rnacentral:rRNA from 1 species